GCUCGCCAUGUCGACUCGGUGUUUGAGUUACUGAAAGAACUCGAUGUCGUGAAUACGAGAGAGGAAGCAGAGGAAAGAUGUUUCUUUUACUCUGGAAGAGAGGCCCUCGACUUGGCUCUUGAUGAAAAAGGAUUCUUAAUCAAGGGAUGGGAAGAACGAGAAGGCACUUUCCAGAGGUUCGUUUCGAAAAUAGAGGAGAGAGCUACUUCUGCGGGUAUGACCGCCAAACUGCAUCUAAACCGAGACACGUGUCAAGAGGUCUUACAUCAAUGCGUCAAUAGUCUUACUGAAGUGGAUGCAGAGAUUGAAAGCCGGGUGUCAGAUGGCAAAGUCAAAACUGACUGCUUGAAGAAGGGUCUGGAAUCAUUUCAAAUAAAGCGAGCCGAGUUUGUGGAGGAGUGCUAAGACAAGAAAAAUAAUGCUUUGAACAUUAUCUCUCAGUCGGUGUUUCACUGUAUGACUGAGGUUAGCAAGAAAAUGACCCAGACUUUGAAAAGGAGCUCGGUUGCUGAUCGAUUCGAGGAGGACCAAGUGCAUAGUUAUGCUGAGAGAGCCCUCAUGGACUGGUAUCGGAAGAUGCUAGCGGAGUUUCAACGCGCUACGGCGAAGGUCUGCGAUGACUACUCAUUCGGUAUACUAGAUUCCUACAAGAAGCACAUG